GUCGAGCGGACAGAAGGGAGCUUGCUCCCGGAUGUUAGCGGCGGACGGGUGAGUAACACGUGGGUAACCUGCCUGUAAGACUGGGAUAACUCCGGGAAACCGGAGCUAAUACCGGAUAGUUCCUUGAACCGCAUGGUUCAAGGAUGAAAGACGGUUUCGGCUGUCACUUACAGAUGGACCCGCGGCGCAUUAGCUAGUUGGUGGGGUAAUGGCUCACCAAGGCGACGAUGCGUAGCCGACCUGAGAGGGUGAUCGGCCACACUGGGACUGAGACACGGCCCAGACUCCUACGGGAGGCAGCAGUAGGGAAUCUUCCGCAAUGGACGAAAGUCUGACGGAGCAACGCCGCGUGAGUGAUGAAGGUUUUCGGAUCGUAAAGCUCUGUUGUUAGGGAAGAACAAGUGCGAGAGUAACUGCUCGCACCUUGACGGUACCUAACCAGAAAGCCACGGCUAACUACGUGCCAGCAGCCGCGGUAAUACGUAGGUGGCAAGCGUUGUCCGGAAUUAUUGGGCGUAAAGGGCUCGCAGGCGGUUUCUUAAGUCUGAUGUGAAAGCCCCCGGCUCAACCGGGGAGGGUCAUUGGAAACUGGGAAACUUGAGUGCAGAAGAGGAGAGUGGAAUUCCACGUGUAGCGGUGAAAUGCGUAGAGAUGUGGAGGAACACCAGUGGCGAAGGCGACUCUCUGGUCUGUAACUGACGCUGAGGAGCGAAAGCGUGGGGAGCGAACAGGAUUAGAUACCCUGGUAGUCCACGCCGUAAACGAUGAGUGCUAAGUGUUAGGGGGUUUCCGCCCCUUAGUGCUGCAGCUAACGCAUUAAGCACUCCGCCUGGGGAGUACGGUCGCAAGACUGAAACUCAAAGGAAUUGACGGGGGCCCGCACAAGCGGUGGAGCAUGUGGUUUAAUUCGAAGCAACGCGAAGAACCUUACCAGGUCUUGACAUCCUCUGACAACCCUAGAGAUAGGGCUUUCCCUUCGGGGACAGAGUGACAGGGUGGUGCAUGGUUGUCGUCAGCUCGGUGUCGUGAAAAUGUUGGGUUUAAGUCCCGGCAACCGAGCGCAACCCUUUGAUCUUAAGUUGCCAGCAUUCAAGUUGG
rnacentral:rRNA from 1 species